UAGUUGUGUGAUUUGUGUACUUUUAAUCUUCUCGUUCUCCAUUUUUUUCUAUUAUAUUUAUGCUCUUACAUUUGCUUGACACCAGUCCCGUCUGGAAAGUCACAGUGAUGCUAUGACUCCAUCUCAGGCCUUGAUGCUCUGGUCUUUUUUGUCAGAUUCCAAGGUUUGCAUUACAGGUUUUUCACCCAUAGGAGAGGAAGGUCAUCAGUUGGGGAGACAUUGCUACAGAGAAACUUUUAAGAAAGAUCAUGCACCAUCCUUCUGAGAGGAAAGUUUUUCAGAAGCCCUGGCCAUGACUCCUUGCCUCACAGGCUGCACAAUCGUCUGAAUCCGUUUCAGUUCCCUUUUACCUUGUGGCUGGUCAGAUUG